rnacentral:lncRNA from 1 species
AAUUGAAUGUAAGUUUUCAUAAUCUGUUCAACUUCAAUUCCUUUUCCAAAAAUCAAAAUCUCCUCCUGCAAGUCCAGUACCUGUUUGCCUUACAUAGUUUCCUUCAUUUCAGCUCUCAAGCCCACAGCUGCAUACUUUAAAAUGCCUGUUGUCAGUGAGAAAUUCCCGUUAGGUAUUGGAGCAUCUCCUUUUUUAUGCACAAGGUUCAUCCUCCAAACGAACGAUAAUACUAAGAAAAUGGAUUGCAUAUUCUCAUCCAUCACCACAUAUCCUUUCAUAACUUUGAGAGGAAAACUACAACAGAGCAUUUGUGUUACUAACCUGGCGCAUCCCAACACAAGAAUUUGCUAAAGCAAGCAACCCAAGAACCGCCGUUAUCCGCGUCGCACCAAACUCCCUCCUGACUUUGGCGUUAACUUAUUCUUGGAGAAACCUAGAACUGAAACCGACAUGUCCACUGACACUGAACAAAUAAAGUCAAUUUACGGUCACAAUAGUGAUUCACCUGAAGAAGAAGACGACAAAGAAGAUCAUGUGAAUAUUGAUCUUGCUUGGGAAUCAGAUGAGGUUGAAGCCAUAUCUUCACUUUUUCAGGGAAGAAUUCCUCAAAAACCUGGAAAAGUAGGUAGAGAGAGGCCUCUUCCUGUCCCACUUCCUUACAAGCUACGGCCACUGGGAUUUCCUAUGCCAAAGAAACACGUUAAGAAGUCUUCUGCUGGGGUAAACUCAUC